rnacentral:rRNA from 1 species
CGGGAAUCUUCCGCAAUGGACGAAAGUCUGACGGAGCGACGCCGCGUGAGCGAAGAAGGUCUUCGGAUCGUAAAGCUCUGUUGUUAGGGAAGAAGAAGUGCCGUUCGAACAGGGCGGCACGGUGACGGUACCUAACGAGAAAGCCCCGGCUAACUACGUGCCAGCAGCCGCGGUAAUACGUAGGGGGCGAGCGUUGUCCGGAAUUAUUGGGCGUAAAGCGCGCGCAGGCGGUCCCUUAAGUCUGAUGUGAAAGCCCACGGCUUAACCGUGGAGGGUCAUUGGAAACUGGGGGACUUGAGUGCAGAAGAGGAGAGCGGAAUUCCACGUGUAGCGGUGAAAUGCGUAGAGAUGUGGAGGAACACCAGUGGCGAAGGCGGCUCUCUGGUCUGUAACUGACGCUGAGGCGCGAAAGCGUGGGGAGCAAAC